rnacentral:lncRNA from 1 species
AUAUGUGCUGCUGUAAUUGUUCUCACAGCAAGUAAAGAUAUAUGGACUGCAAAUGUAAAUAUAGAUCGAGGAUAUAUAUGUUUUAUGUAUAGACUACAAAGUAGUUUAGAGAAAUAUAUAAAUUUACAUGUACAUACAUAUAGCGGUGUCAAAGGUUCCAGACAUGUAGCAGUUCAAAAGGUAAUGAGAAUUUCUCAUGCCAAUGCAUCAAAGUUGCUGUCCCUCCCUAAAAAAAGUUGUAGUCCCAAGUACAGUGCGACCAGUUUACAACUAAUCCUGUCACGCCACCAUUAUCUUAAUUGCAAGACAAUAGGCAGUAAGCUGCAUACGUAAGUUGGCUGUGGCUGGUAUGAUUCACUAACUCUGCUGACCAGUCACCUUUCAUUUAGGAUGUUUACUCCACCACUGGUAAACCCUCCACUAUCAUCUCUGUUUUCAAAAGACUGGCUCUAAAGAACAAAAGAAAUGAUAGAUGAACAAAUUAGUUUCAAUGCAGUAUAGAAAGUUUGAAGUGUAGCUACAAAAUAUAUCGCUUACAUGUAUUGGCAACAUCUUGGUUAGCAGAGGACCUGGUAGCACUCAUUUUUUCAAUCUGCGUAGCAGGGGCACAUCAAUUAAUAAGUUGAACUACCAAAAACAAAGUAAAAAAUAGAAGAAAAUGAGACAUUCAUUUACAGAGCCUCAUAGUUUCUGCGUAGCAUUCCAAGCUGUAUCACAUAAUAAGGCACAUUCCACACUAUAGUAUCACAUAAGGAAUGUUGUUAUACACUGAAAAUGAUCAUAGUAUCAAUAGGAAAAAUGCUUUGUAAAUUAUCCUUAAUGCUAUAUAAUUUAAUAAGGCACAUUUCAUAUCACAGUAUCACAUUAUGGAGCAUAAAUGGCAGGAGGCUAACUUACAUCAGUGAUUGCACGAGCUAGCUUUGCAUAUUGAAUGUAAGCUAGCAUAGCUAAAGAAGCACACAUCUAAUAACAUUGGCAUAAAUAAGAAAAAUCUUUGCAAUAAAAUAGUACAAUGAGUGUUCCAACAUAGUACAGAUAUGACAUUGGCGAAUAGCAAAAUGUUUCUAGCAAAAUGCUAGAAUCUGUGGUCCAGCAUAGUUUAGAACUUUAAAAGUUACUUGCUCUUCUUUUUAGUAAAAUGCAGGUACUACCAAUGGAUUCAUCAUAUCUCACAUAAAAGGUAAGUGUGGAUAUAGCCAACUUUACCUCUAUACAUGGGCAUGUUCAAAUUGGUUCAAAUUGAUAAGUUGUAAACUUAUGUUUUCAUGUUUCCAUAAAAUAAACAAAUAAAUGAUUUGAAGCCUAUCAUCAUUCUAUGAGUGGAUAAUGGUUCAGGAAACAACGCAAAUUAAUGGAAAGAUCAUUACCUGCAGGAGUACAGGGUAGGAGCAAAAAAAUGAUUUUAGCAUUAGCCGUCACACAUGCACUCCUGCAACAGAUAUAGACUGAUCUGGUUAAAUUAGAUCUGCUAGCAUCACAUGAAAAGCAAUUGAAAGAAGCAUAUCAUUUCUUAAUCCCAAAGUAAUGGCAGCUAAGAUCAUAAACCUCAGGUUCAUCCAUCUGAACUGAAACUGAGAGCAGGAAUAGACAUCAGAGCAAAAAAAAGUACAUAAGAACAUGGCCCUUCACACCUAAAUGCCUGAAUUCUUAGGCACAUACAUUAGAUCAUCCAUGAAGUAAAAUUAGAACCAACAUGUAAAUGUGAUUAAUGGAGAGAAGCACACACCUUUCGCUUGAGGAUUAUCACUCUGCUAAUGGGAAAUCCUGUACGACCAUUCUAUUUUCAAAGGAUGGAAAUGGAACCCGAUUCUACUUUAGCGCCAAGCUACAAAAAGGUAGUGAUAGAGAUCAAUCAAGAAGGGUGUGUGGCAAGUCAAGUUGAAGACAUUCAGUCAUGAUAGUCUGAUAACAAGGCGAUGAAAAUCAUUCUAGACUAAAUAAGAAUUAGGCACCUUCAAUAACACAUGAGACAACCAAGGUAAUAAGCAUUAUGUAUAAACCUUUCACAUGGAUUAACAUGGUAGCUGCAAUCCUAUACUCGGUGAUGGGACCUAAACAAAGUCCUAACUAACCUAUUUUCUAGAGAUAUCCUAGGAAGAUCAUGCUGGACAACACACUCCAAGAACCCAUAUGUCUUGAGAAAUCUCUGAACAGAAGCUCAUGUAUUAUCUGAAAAGCGGGUGGAAUUCACAAGAGUCUAAUUAGCAUAAUGCAAGUGACAAAAACUACACCCGCUAAUAUUUGUAUACACACCUCUGCAUAAUUCCAAAUAUUGUUCAUCUAAUUAUUCGCAUACCUAAUACGAAAUUAAAAAAUCAGCAAUAUAACCAAGACAUCUUUUAGCACUCAAAGACAGUAGAUAAAAUAUAUGAGAAAGUUGCAUAGUGGAUGAAGAACGACAUGUAUGACUUACCUACUACCUUCUUCCAACGGCAGUGGUGAUGGGCGUGUUAAUAAGCAACUGAUCCUUAUGACCUUUUUUUUUGUAGAACUCUAUUGACCUCACAAAGUUAGUACAAAAUAUAGGAUAACAGAAACAUAAUUAUAUUAUUACUACUAUUUUGCAUUUUACAUAACACAAGCAAAGCACGUAUGUGAUAAAGUACCUAAUCCUACAACUUUACAUAACAAACAGAGCAUGUAGCUAACACUACAAAAGCGAUCCUUGCAGACUCCCUAGUGUCUCAUAAGUAAAUACAAAUACGGAUUAGAAGUUCUCUUCUAACACUACACAAGCAGUCCUUGCAGACUCCCUAGUGUCUCAUAAGUAAAUAUAAAUGGUUAACCUUCCAAUCACAAAAUGGAAACCUUUUUUUGCAAUAGGCCGUUUCCUUCUUCCACCUCCCUUAUCUUAGGUUGCCUCACUUGGAUUCAUGGACGGAAAUGGAGCAAGACCUGACCAAGAUCUCAUCUAGAUCUAAUUCGUGACUGAAAAAAAAUAUCCUCUCAACCAUGGAUUUGCAGCUGAACUGGAGGGGGAGCAAAAGAGAGAGAGAGCACCUUAAUCUGGCCGGGCUGCAGGAGGCCAGCGUCCAGCUCGCCCAUGGCCAGGGACGCCACGUUGAGAGAGGGAGAAGGGGAAAACCUGCUGCAGCACGCACUGGUGGCGCCACCGUGUCGGCCGCCGCCGCGCUUUGCCCUCUCGCUGCGGCAGGAUGCCCAAGUUUAGGGUUUGGCUCAUCCGGCAUGAUAGCUAGGGUUUCACCCACAGGAGGAGCGCUGGCGUCACGGCCGGAGGCCGCAACGACGAGGCAGCACGGAGGAUGGAGGAGAGGGAGGGGGUUGUCGGGCCUCACCUGCGCCGUCGCCCUACCUGCAGGUCGCGCCGUCGCCUGGUGCGCCGCCGCCGUCACUUGAGGGAAAGGGAGAGAUAGAGAACACCGGACUUC